rnacentral:rRNA from 1 species
GACGAACGCUGGCGGUGUGCUUAACACAUGCAAGUCGAACGGUAAGGCCCUUUCGGGGGUCCACGAGUGGCGAACGGGUGAGUAACACGUGAGUAACCUGCCCUCAUCUCUGGGAUAACAGUCGGAAACGGUUGCUAAUACUGGAUAUGAGCUUGCAAGGCAUCUUGUGGGUUGGAAAGAUUUUUUUGGUUGGGGAUGGACUCGCGGCCUAUCAGCUUGUUGGUGAGGUAGUGGCUCACCAAGGCUUCGACGGGUAGCCGGCCUGAGAGGGCGACCGGCCACAUUGGGACUGAGAUACGGCCCAAACCCCUACGGGAGGCAGCAGUGGGGAAUAUUGCACAAUGGACGGAAGUCUGAUGCAGCAACGCCGCGUGCGGGAUGACGGCCUUCGGGUUGUAAACCGCUUUCAAUUGUGACGAAGCUUUUUGUGACGGUAGCAGUAGAAGAAGCACCGGCUAACUACGUG